GCGCUCGUAGCUCAGCUGGAUAGAGCAACAGCCUUCUAAGCCGUAGGUCGCAGGUUCGAAUCCUGCCGAGCGUACCA
rnacentral:tRNA from 1 species